GGGCGUGUAGCUCAGUUGGUUAGAGCGCAUCCCUGAUAAGGAUGAGGUCGCUGGUUCAAAUCCAGCCACGCCCACCA
rnacentral:tRNA from 1 species